rnacentral:lncRNA from 1 species
UGCGUGGGCGGGGCUUGUGGGCGGGGCUCGGGCAGGCCAGACAAAUCCAGCCCCGAGGCGCGGAUGCACCGGCCGAGACACUCCACUCCAGGUGCAACCCGGGCGGAACUCUGAGAUCCUCAGGGCGACAAGAUACCGACAACUGCUAGGCCACUGGGUGGGGUGCUAAGCCCUUUCUUUCUGAGUUUCCCACCAAAUACACUGUCUCUACCGAGACACCCCGCCCCCGGUCCUGCUGUUUCCUGCUCAGCAUUGUGCUAGGAGCCACACAAGCAGCUGGUGUCCGGCAGAGCCACACCUGGGGCCACAGACGCGCUCCUCCCUCCAGGCGGGUCUGGGCCCCUGCCAGGGAGACGGGCAGACCCGGGUGAGACUCCGCUGGCCCAGGCUGGCUGCAGGAGUGUCCUGAGGGCGAAAGCCCGAGGGCCAGGCCUGCACGGGGCACUCUGUACGGCCUGGGUGCUGACUCUGGGCCCUGAGGGGGUCCUGUCCUGGUCCCUCCUGCAGAUGAGAGGCCAGGACAUUGAAGGGCCUGCACCCCACCCCUGGCGCCUGCCGGGCUGCACUCACUCUGCCCUCUUAGCAGCCUCACCCUCGCAGGAACUUGGGUUCCAGCAGCCCUGCUGGGAGAGCAGAAAGCAGCAGGGACCCGGGAGCAAGACCUCAAUCGGCGAUGCCAGGACGUGAGACGAGGACACACCUCGCGUGGCUGCCAGGGCUUGGAGGCCUGCUGCUCCUCUGAAGACCCUGCAGCUCACCCUACAGACCUCCACCAGGCCAGAGAGGCUGCCAAGGGAAGGACGGGGGCCUCCUAAGACCCCUAGGAAGAUGCUCAAGGCAACGUCACACACAGGAAAACCUUGCAAGCAGCAGGAAUGGAAGUGGCUGGGCCACUCCUUGUGGGGUGGCUGAGGAGAGCAGGUACCCGACACCCCGCUGGCAGGGUGGGGUUCUCCAGGACCCUGCAGUGGGCCAGCUGCCCAGGGGAUGAGGUCACAUGACAGGAGACCGGCCCUGGCUGCUGCAUCCACCCGUCCGAGUCUCUGUCCAUGGCCCGUGCAGUUCUCAGCAACAGGAGACUCGGAGGUGGCCCCAGGAGCCCUGCUUCAGAGCGAAGAAGAUGGGGUCCACAGCCCCCAGAGAGCAGGGCACCAGGGAGGGUUGGGGCUGCUGCAGGCCCCCGGCUGGCUGGCACCCCCAGUGGCCGGGUAUGCACACCCACUCUGGUGCCCUAACCCUCCUGCCAGCUCCACAGGGUCCCCUCACACAGUGCCCGAGGCCAAGGGACCCUAGAACUGUGGAGCUGGACCUGUGCUGCUGUCCCACAGCAGGACCUUGGCAGAGUCCCGGGGCACUCUUCCAGGGCCACCCUGUCCCAGCCCCUGGCUGAGCUCAGGCACCUCCUGUGAGUGUCCAGGCUGCAGGCAGAUCACGCCCCAGAGGCAGCUGUGGCCACGGGCAAUGGAGAGGCCACCUGGUCAGGCAUCAGCAGGCAGCCAGGCCCCGGCUGCUGGGGGAGCCCGCGCACCACUGCCUCCCAUAAUUUCCAGUGAAAAAGCAGUUAGACACCGACUGCAGCCUUGGGGAGGGCCUUUUGGUGGUGUCCUGCAGCCCGUGGUCCCCACCCGCCUGUCUGCAACCUGUGUCCCGGUGCCCAUGUCCACCACAGCAGCCCAGGUGAGCUGUGCUGGCUGGGCCAGAGCUGGGCAGGCCAAGAGGAGAUGCACGAGGCAGACCGGCACAGCAUGUGAGCCCCGUGCCGCCCGGCUGCCUGUGCAGCAUCCUCUCUGUGGCAACACCCCUAGGCCAGCUGUGGCCCGGCACGUGGAGCUUCUGCAGCUUUCAUAUCUCUUGCCAACCAUGUUUCCAGCCGCUGCACAUCACUGUUCUCCAGGCCACUUCCAGGCCACCUCAUGCCAGGGUGGGGACACCAGUGGUGCAAACUAUGUGUGGAUUGGUGUCCCAGGGCACUGAAGGCCGGGAGACCUGGGCUGCUUAGGGUCCAGGCCGUCCCAUGGCUACUAAGGACCCCUUCUCCCCAUUCCCAUCCUCUGCAGCCAUAGGAGCUGCCCCUGGGAGGUGCCCAGAGACCAUGCCUCCUCCCCGGUUUGCUCCUCAGGCAGGGCAAGGGCCUCGUACAGUUGUAGCCAUGGCUGAAGUUCCUGACCACCUGGAACGCGGCACAGUAGAGGGAACCAGGCAUCUGAGGAAUGGGUACUGUGGCCACAACUGGUGUCACAUGUGGCCAGGAAGGUGGAGGGAUGGGGCACCAAACAGCCUGUGUGAGCUGGAGGCUCUCUGGAGCUUCCGGUGCUUCUCCAUGCCUAGUUGCAGUCCGCACCAGUCUCUGCCUCUGUCCCCUGCCCAGCCACCAUGGGUGCAGUGCCUCUGAACACACCCAGCAGCACGGAGCCCUGGCGCUCACAGCAAGGCGAGCCCAGGCCAGCACAAAUGCGGGCUGACAGGGAGGGCGAGCCUGGGCCCAUAAGGCUGGCGGGCGGCUGUGCACGUCCCUCGGGGCCUCCUGAGGCCCCCUGCUCUGUGGCUGAGGACCUGGCCUUAAUCCCACCUGGCCUGCUUGCUGCUCUGCUCCUUGUGCACGGCCUUGGGCUGCCCACCCCCUGAACCUCCGCGGGGGUGGGGACCCCGAGGCGAGGCGUGGGAGCUGCUGUGGUCACUAUCUCUCACCACUUCUGUUGCUGCCAAGCUUGGUACAGUGCGGCUCAUGUGUGGGCAUGGCCAGGGUGCCGUGGGCAUGGCCAGGGUGCCAUGUGCACCCGGGCACCAGCCAGCAGGGGGAAGGCCCCCAGGAAGUGAGCCCCCAGCAGGAGCCCCUGCCCAGCCCAGCAGAGGCCUCGCCCCAUGGGCCGUGCCAGGGGUCUGACCUGCCGCAGGGUGGGGGCUGCAGUGUUGCAGUGCUGAGG